UUUGAUGGAGCUGCUGCCACUUAACUCGGCCAAAUAUCCUACUUCCUUCUUCAACUUCGACCAUGGAAAACAAUCUGAUCUUACCACAUAAAAAGUGAACCUCAUCUAAAAAAAUAGUUAAAGAACAGGUCAGUGUACUAGAACUUUUGUUGUGGGCAUGAUUCGAAAAUAAAUAGUUUAAUAACUAAAAUAAAAACUUUACAGAAUGUUAUAUAAUAAAUUCAAGAGGAGAGAAGAACUACCGAAAAGUACACAAUUUCUCUCUAAAGAAUUUCAAACAAAGAUAAUUUGAG
rnacentral:lncRNA from 1 species